rnacentral:rRNA from 1 species
CAGCGCGAACUGUCAGACUUGAGUGCGCAGGAAGUAGGCGGAAUUCGUCGUGUAGCGGUGAAAUGCUUAGAUAUGACGAAGAACUCCGAUUGCGAAGGCAGCCUGCUGUAGCGCAACUGACGCUGAAGCUCGAAAGCGUGGGUAUCGAACAGGAUUAGAUACCCUGGUAGUCCACGCGGUAAACGAUGGAUGCUCGCUGUUUGCGUCUGACGUAAGCGGCCAAGCGAAAGCGUUAAGCAUCCCACCUGGGGAGUACGCCGGCAACGGUGAAACUCAAAGGAAUUGACGGGGGCCCGCACAAGCGGAGGAACAUGUGGUUUAAUUCGAUCAUACGCGAGGAACCUUACCCGGGCUUGAACUGUAGGCGAACGAUUCAGAGAUGAUGAGGCCCUUCGGGGCGCCUAUGGAGGUGCUGCAUGGUUGUCGUCAGCUCGUGCCGUGAGGUGUCGGCUUAAGUGCCAUAACGAGCGCAACCCUUGUUCGUAGUUGCCAUCGGGUUAAGCCGGGCACUCUGCGAAGACUGCCUCCGUAAGGAGUGAGGAAGGUGGGGAUGACGUCAAAUCAGCACGGCCCUUACGUCCGGGGCUACACACGUGUUACAAUGGCAUGUACAGAAAGCAGGGUGUAUGCAAAUACGCUCGAAUCCCUAAAACAUGUCUCAGUUCGGACUGGGGUCUGCAACCCGACCCCACGAAGCUGGAUUCGCUAGUAAUCGCGCAUCAGCCAUGGCGCGGUGAAUACGUUCCCGGGCCUUGUACACACCGCAUAUCKUGACUGGGAAACACACCWSSCUAUCGUGACUGGGAAACACACCWSSCUAUCGUGACUGGGAAACACACCWSSCUAUCGUGACUGGGAAACACACCWS